rnacentral:rRNA from 1 species
CAAAACUCACUGAUUCCACGGUGUAUCUUCUGAGUGACACAAGCAAAUAAAAUCAAAACUUUCAACAACGGAUCUCUUGGUUCUGGCAUCGAUGAAGAACGCAGCGAAAUGCGAUAAGUAAUGUGAAUUGCAGAAUUCAGUGAAUCAUCGAAUCUUUGAACGCACAUUGCGCCCGCCAGUAUUCUGGCGGGCAUGCCUGUUCGAGCGUCAUUUCAACCCUCAAGCCCCCGGGCUUGGUGCUGGGGAUCGGCCGUCACGGGCCGGCCCCGAAAUCGAGUGGCGGUCUCGCUGUAGCCUCCUCUGCGUAGUAGCAACACCUCGCACUGGAACGCGGCGCGGCCACGCCGUAAAACCCCCAACUUCUGAAGGUUGACCUCGGAUCAGGUAGGAAUACCCGCUGAACUUAAGCAUAUCAAUAAGCGGAGGAA